rnacentral:rRNA from 1 species
CAAUAGCGUAUAUUAAGUUGUUGCAGUUAAAAGCUCGUAGUUGGAUUUCUGGGAGGGUGCCAAUGUCCGUCGUCGUACGUGUUGCAGCGGCGCCCUUCCAUCCUUCUGUUAACGACUUUGGGCAUUCAUUUGCCGGAGUCGGGCUCAGAUAUUUUACCUUGAGAAAAUUAGAGUGUUUCAGGCAGGCUAGGCCGGAAUACAUUAGCAUGGAAUAAUGGAAUAGGACUACGGUCUCUUUGUUGGUUUGAGGGACUGCAGUAAAUGAUUAAAUAGGGGAUAGUUGGGGGCAGUUAGUAUUUAAUUGUCAGAGGUGGAAUUCUCGGAUUUGUUAAAAGACUAACUUAUGCGAAAGCAUUUGCCAAGGAUGUUUUCAUUAAAUCAAGAAACGAAAAGUUAGGGGGAUCAAAAGAUGAUCAGAUAC